rnacentral:misc_RNA from 1 species
GAUGAAGAACGUAGUGAAAUGCGAUACGUAGUGUGAAUUGCAGAAUUCCGUGAAUCAUCGAAUCUUUGAACGCACAUUGCGCCCCCUGGUAUUCCGGGGGGCAUGCCUGUCCGAGCGUCAUUGCAACCUUCAAGCGCGGCUUGUGUGUUGGGUCUCGUCCCCCGUGGACGGGCCCGAAAGGCAGUGGCGGCGUCCCGACAUGGUGCCCGAGCGUAUGGGAAUCCUCUUCCGCUCGAAUCGGCCCAUGCGGCGCUGGUCGUAACCAAAUUUUUUACCGGUUGACCUCGGAUCAGGUAGGGAUACCCGCUGAACUUAAGCAUAUCAAUAAGCGGAGGA